rnacentral:rRNA from 1 species
GACAAACGCUGGCGGCAUGCCUAACACAUGCAAGUCGAACGGACAGAACAGGGAAGCUUUUCGGAGUGGAACUGGAAAGUUAGUGGCGGAUGGGUGAGUAACGCGUGGACAACCUACCUUGUAAAGGGGAAUAACCUCGAGAAAUCGAAGCUAAUACCCCAUAAUAACCUUGCUUCGCAUGAAGUAAGGAGGAAAGGCGGCCUUAGCGCUGUCGAUACAAGAUGGGUCCGCGUCUGAUUAGCUAGUUGGUGAGGUAAAGGCUCACCAAGGCGACGAUCAGUAGCCGGCAUGAGAGGGUGAACGGCCACAUUGGGACUGAGACACGGCCCAAACUCCUACGGGAGGCAGCAGUGGGGAAUCUUCCGCAAUGGGCGAAAGCCUGACGGAGCAAUGCCGCGUGAGUGAAGAAGGCCUUCGGGCUGUAAAACUCUGUCCUUAUCGAAGAGAGAGUGUUGUAGUAACUGACAAUACUAGGACGGUAGAUGAGGAGGAAGCCCCGGCUAACUAUGUG